UACGUAGGGCGCAAGCGUUGUCCGGAAUUAUUGGGCGUAAAGAGCUCGUAGGCGGCUUGUCACGUCGGGUGUGAAAGCCCGGGGCUUAACCCCGGGUCUGCAUUCGAUACGGGCUGGCUAGAGUGUGGUAGGGGAGAUCGGAAUUCCUGGUGUAGCGGUGAAAUGCGUAGAUAUCUGGAGGAACACCCGUGGCGAAGGCGGCCAACUGGGCCGGACCUGACGCUGAGGCGCGAAGGCGUGGGGAGCGAACGGG
rnacentral:rRNA from 1 species